rnacentral:lncRNA from 1 species
CUAGACUUACCAUGAUCUGUGCUCUAACCACUCUUCUGUACUUCCUCCCCUCUUUUUUAUCUGCUCAUGUGUCCUCAUAGUCAAUAUAGUUAGAUUUAUUAGAAACUACCUGCCAAGAACCAUCUUAUUUAAAAAUAUCUUGAACUCCUCUGUCUUUCAUAAUAUUUUCAAAAUAAAUUGCCUACAAGUCUGUAAAGUAGCUAAGUAGUAUCCUUAGGACUGAAGAGCACACAUCUGCGGGCUUGCUGAUUCAGAUUCAUUUCAGUUUUACAAGCGCUGCCUCUCCUGUGUUUUACUGAUAGCUGUUUUUUUCCAAGAUCUUCAUUGCUUCCUAAUUGUUUGGGCUUCUACAUUAAGUUUUUCUUGUGAAGACAGAUGGACUGCAGGCUUGUAAAAUUAGAAUAAUAAAAGGAAAUGAGAAUGCCAUACCAGAGCAUCCUCCAUCCCCAAGACCAAUAAAUCACUAAAUUAAAUGUUCCUUUUCUGGAACAUGGUCAGAGUACACUACUUCCGUGGGUCAGCUUCUUAUAAAAUUCUGCAGGACAACAGAAGCCAAGAGAAUGUUAAUCCAUUUCAUUAACCAGGGAAUGUAUCCACCAGAGAAAUGGUCUGGGUCACCAUUUCUAAAAAUAAGCCAUUUACAUCAGUCCUUGGCUUCCUUGGGCCAAGUGCCUACAGGACUUAGAAGCUAGAACCAUUCUGAGUCAGAGAGAAAAUGGAGAAAGAUGAAUGGAUAGUUCUAGUAGAACAGAGGAAAAGUUGCCAACUUUACCUUAUUGGAUGUUGAAUAUUUUUGUAUCUCUACAAAUAUUCUUGAACUUUAUUCUGGGAUAUAGUUAAGUCUCUUGGUAGCGUUUUGAACCUUUGGAUCUUACAUCUAAACUUUGCUUGGCAAAGCCAGAGCAAUAAGUGGUCUAAAGUUCAUUUUGCCCUAUUACUGGGGUGAGAUCCUUCUGAGUAUUUAUCCCAGACCCCAUGAUUUAUGGGGACAGGCUUUUGGGAACAGGCACUAUUCUCUGCCCUCAAAUAGCUCCUAACAUCUUCUGACCUUUUAGGGUGGAUCCUUUCCAGCCAUGACAGUUCCCUUACACACAUGCCCAGAUCAGCUCUCUUCUGAAUAUUUAAGGGUUAUUUCUAUGGAACUUCAGAAUUUUUUCUCUGUGCAGCCUUCUCCUUUCUAGUACUCUUCCCUGAGAACCCUACCCCUCAUAGGCUCCCAGAACUCGCAGAUCCAUCUCCUUCACUUCAGGAGACUCUCAGACUCAGCCUGAGUACCUCUCUCUUCAGCACAUCCUGGAAACUCUUUCUUGGCAGGAAUCUGAGACAAUUAUAGAGAGCACCUCAUUGGUUACCCAUCUUUCAAGGUCUACUCUCCUUUAUCACCUGAUGUUUGAUGUCUUAAGAACUACUGUUUUAUGUAUUAGGUCCUACUUACUAGUUGUUUCAGGUGGAAAUGCAAAACAUCCCUUUACUCAGUUCUGAUUAGAGGUGGAUAUCUCCCAUUCAUGAUUAAAAUUUGCUAUUUCCCAAUAAAGUCUGAAGUUUACCUACAUUCUGUACCUUCCCCCCAAUCUACCUGUCUAGAAAGUUAUUUCCCACCUUUCCCAACAUCUUCAACCCCUACCCUUCAGAAUAGACCCAGGGAAAAUACCACUUCCCCCAUGAAGUCUUUCCUCUGGUCAAGUCUUUCCUUGACCAGAGGAAUCUCCCUUUUCUGAACUCAGAUGAUAAUGUCCACCUUCAAAUAUGACAUAUACCAAAAUAUGUAUGUGUUUUAUCUCCCCAUUGGACAGUUAAAUUCUUUAAGAGCAGAAAUCACACCAUAUUCAUUUCACUUCCUCAGCAAUACCCUCUGCUCUACUAGCUGAUGGUACAUGUUGAAUGAAUGAGCAAAUAAAAUGGCAAAAAGCAUCAUCCCAUCACAGUGCACUUAACUCAGAUUCACCAGACACACUUGACAAAGUCAAGACAUGGACCACAAAUUCACUUAUGGCAGGAGAUCCCAGCUAUCGUUCACACAAUGAGCACAUCCUAGAAGUAAAUGUAACAUGAGACCAGUCACUCUCUUUUUCCUAUCUACCUCCAUUUCUUCAAGUUUCACCAGCUAUGACCCUAAAAUGACAAAGUAAGCAUCGUUUUAUGAUAUGGUCCCUAAAUGUAAGCCACAUAUUUCUUUGAGCCCACCAAGAAUUAUUAAAAUUCCUCUGCUUAAAAUGAGACAUAUUUUGGUUAACAUACAAUGGAAUUGAGAAUUCAUUAUAGCCUCAAGUUCUCUCCCUCAGUUAAUCCUUAUUCUUUUUCUUCUGCCACUUCCUUUACACAUUUUUUAUUUCACAAGGGAGCCACUUUGCAGUGACUCAAUAUAUCCAAAAAUUUGAACGGACCUAAGCCGAUUUCAAUCAGCCUAGGUUACAAAUUGCUGGAACAGUAUAUGUCUGAAUCUUUGUAAUUAAAGAUUAUUGACACCAUUCUGAGUUGUGAAUCAUUUUGAUGUCAAAAAUUAUAAGAAGUCACUAAACUCAGGCCAUCCAUCAAAAAAUACCAAGGUCUGGCUACAGUGACAGUUAUCACAAACUUGGUGCCUUGAAAUAAAAGAAAUGAAUUCUCUCACAGUUCUGGUGUCCAGAAGUGUGAAACCAGGCCAAAAUUAAGAUGUCAGCAGGACAAUGGUCCUUCUACAGGUUCUAGAGGAGAUGCUAAUCCUUGGCUCUUUCAGCUUAUGGUGGCUGCUGGCAUUCCUUGACUUAUGACCACAUCUCUCCAACAUUCCAGGCCAGAUCUCUCUCUCUCUUGUUUUCAUUAGCCUUCUUCUCUGUGCUUGUGUAGUAUUUUCCUCUCUCUCCCUCCCAUAAGUAUAUGUGUGAUGGCAUUUAGAACCCACCGGGAUAAUCCAGGAUAACCUUCCCACCUCAAAAUUCUUAACAUAAUCACAUCUUCAAGGACAUUUUUUCCACAUAAGGAAACAGUUACAUAUUUCAGACAAAAGGACUUAAUAACUUUGGGGACAUUAUUCAGCGUACCACAUCUUCUCUGAAAAAAACGUAGAUAAAUUAAGACUACUUUGGAGGGUUCAAGUAAUGGACACUUAAUCAUAUCAACAGUAGCUGACUAUAUGUCCAUUAAGUAAAUCAAAGGUGGUUUUCUCUUGAUCUCUGACACGUCAGGGGAUUAAAAGCAUCAAUUUCCUUGAAUAUACAGAUGUAUCUCAUCUUCCAUGAGCAGCCUUGGCUCAUGGCCCCACCAUGAGGUCAUAUCCAACCUUUUAUCACACUCCCAAACAAACAAAACCCAUUUAAUGAGUAGCACAAGCUUAACUAAAGACUAAAAUGGGAGGGGAAAGGAGGAGAGUGGUAGAAAAGAGAAAUAAGGACACACAGCAAAUCUGCAUUUUAGGAGUUCCUGCCAUGGCACAGUGGUUAACGAAUCCGACUAGGAACCACGAGGUUGUGGGUUUGAUCCCUGGCCUUGUUCAGUGGGUUAAGGAUCCGGCAUUGCCGUGAGCUGUGGUGUAGGUUGCAGACACAGCUCGGACCCCUCAUUGCUGUGACUCUGGCAUAGGCCGGUGGCUACGGCUCCAAUUAGACCCCUAGCCUGAAAAUCUCCAUAUGCUGUGGGAGCGGCCC